ensembl:processed_transcript 5830418P13Rik RIKEN cDNA 5830418P13 gene
CCCAUUAGCUGAAAAGAAACACACGUGAGUCAGAAGCGGCAGAAACGGAACCUCAGUAAAGAUACCACGGUAGGAGUGUGGGAAAGGAAGCCAUGUUAUGAGAAAGAAUUUGGUCUUUGGAAUAAGACAGUGCCAAGGUUCGAACCCCUGUUUUGUGGUUUGAUGGAUUUUGGACAAAUGACUUCCAGAACUCUGGGAUGUGAAGUCCUGUCAGUAACUGGGGAUGUGUGGUGAUCUGGUGGGCACAGGAGGGAAUGAGGACGGCCAGGGUUAGGGCUGGACAUCUGCGGAACAGCCAUUCGGUGGGUACUUGAACUACAUACCACCCCUUUACUCCUCCAUGUUUAUUUAAAACUUUAUAUAUUUACUCAUAUGCGUGCAGGAAUCUGAAGGAUUUAGUUUUGUUAGGAACAUCUUUCACAUUCCACAGAAAGCAACUGGACAAAAAGACAGUUGGGGGAGAGAGAUGACGGUUUUUCCACUUGAAAGGAGGUGCUGGAAGGUUUGCAGAUGGUUCUGUGGUUGUUCAUCCCAGCAAUGGGAUGCUAUGCUCUUUGAAAGAGGGCCACUAGUCCCAGAGUUGCUUCAACCUCUGUGUGUGACCGUGGACAACCCCCACCCUCCACAUGGGCCUUCCCAUUCUCUCUUGAGUUGUGAGAGGUUGGACAGUGUGAUCCCUAAGUAGUCUUUUGUACUUUAUUUUUAUUUAUUAGUAUUUGUGUGUUUGUGCAUGCAUAUAUGUGUAUGUGAAUGCACACAUGUAAAUGCUCACACACAUAUACACGUGUGCCACGGUGCAUAAUAAAAACCAGAGGGUGAUUUUGUGAAGUCAGUUUUUCACAAAAGGGACAGUGGGCAACUCCACUGUCAUUCAUAACACCUUGUUUGUCUUCCCUGUAGACUCCAAAUUAAACAUAGUUUUCUCAGCAGCCCUGCUGGUAUGUCACUCAGCUAGAAGAAAGUCGACAGGAAGCCUCUUCAAAAUGUUUGAGAGACACUGGCUGCUCUUCUGAGGACCUAGAUUCAACUCCAGCACCCAUGUGGUAGCGUACAACUAUCUAACUCCUGCCCCUUCUUCCGAUCUCCACGUGUAUGACACAGGUGAUUCACAGACUUACAUGUAGGCAGAACACCCACCCAU